GCUCGAGUGGCGGAAUAGGCAGACGCCCGGGACUUAAAAUCCCGUGGGAGAUAAUCCCGUACCGGUUCGACCCCGGUCUCGAGCACCA
rnacentral:tRNA from 1 species